rnacentral:rRNA from 1 species
CAUGCAAGUCGAACGGUAACAGGGAGCACCUUGCUGCUUCGCUGACGAGUGGCGGACGGGUGAAUAAUGUCUGGGAAACUGCCUGAUGGAGGGGGAUAACUACUGGAAACGGUAUCUAAUACCGCAUAACGUCUUCAGACCAAAGUGGGGGACCUUCGGGCCUCAUGCCAUCAGAUGUGCCCAGAUGGGAUUAGCUAGUAGGGGGUGUAACGGCUCACCUAGGCGACGAUCCCUAUCUGGUCUGAGAGGAUGACCACCCACACUGGAACUGAGACACGGUCCACACUCCUACGGGAGGCAGCAGUGGGGAAUAUUGCACAAUGGGCGCAAGCCUGAUGCACCCAUGCCGCGUGUAUGAAAAAGGCCUUCGGGUUGUAAAGUACUUUCAGCGGGGAGGAAGGUGUUGUGGUUAAUAACCGCAGCAAUUGACGUUACCCGCAAAAAAAGCACCGGCUAACUCCGUGCCAGCAGCCGCGGUAAUACGGAGGGUGCAAGCGUUAAUCGGAAUUACUGGGCGUAAAGCGCACGCAGGCGGUCUGUUAAGUCAUAUGUGAAAUCCGCGGGCUCAACCUGAGAACUGCUUUUGAAACUGGCGGGCUUGACUCUCGUAGAGGGGGGUAGAAUUCCAGGUGUAGCGGUGAAAUGCAUAGAGAUCUGGAAGAAUAGCGGUGGCGAGCGCGGCCCCCUGGACAAGACUGACGCUCAUGUGCGAAAGCGUGGAGAGCAAACAGGAUUAGAUACCCUGAUACUCCACGCCGUACACGAUGUCGACUUGGAUGUUGCGCUCGUGAGGCGUGUCUGCAGAACUAACGCGAUAAGUCGACGGC